rnacentral:rRNA from 1 species
GAUGAACGCUGGCGGCGUGCCUAACACAUGCAAGUCGAGCGAUUUACUUCGGUAAAGAGCGGCGGACGGGUGAGUAACGCGUGGGUAACCUGCCCUGUACACACGGAUAACAUACCGAAAGGUAUGCUAAUACGAGAUAAUAUACUUUUAUCGCAUGGUAGAAGUAUCAAAGCUCCGGCGGUACAGGAUGGACCCGCGUCUGAUUAGCUAGUUGGUAAGGUAACGGCUUACCAAGGCGACGAUCAGUAGCCGACCUGAGAGGGUGAUCGGCCACAUUGGAACUGAGACACGGUCCAAACUCCUACGGGAGGCAGCAGUGGGGAAUAUUGCACAAUGGGCGAAAGCCUGAUGCAGCAACGCCGCGUGAGCGAUGAAGGCUCGGUCGUAAAGCUCUGUCCUCAAGGAAGAUAAUAGACGGUACUUGAGGAGGAAGCCCGGCUAACUACGUGCCAGCAGCGCGGUAAAAGUACACGUCG